CACUCCUACGGGAGGCAGCAGUGGGGAAUAUUGCACAAUGGGCGCAAGCCUGAUGCAGCCAUGCCGCGUGUAUGAAGAAGGCCUUCGGGUUGUAAAGUACUUUCAGCGGGGAGGAAGGCGAUAAGGUUAAUAACCUUGUUGAUUGACGUUACCCGCAGAAGAAGCACCGGCUAACUCCGUGCCAGCAGCCGCGGUAAUACGGAGGGUGCAAGCGUUAAUCGGAAUUACUGGGCGUAAAGCGCACGCAGGCGGUCUGUCAAGUCGGAUGUGAAAUCCCCGGGCUCAACCUGGGAACUGCAUUCGAAACUGGCAGGCUAGAGUCUUGUAGAGGGGGGUAGAAUUCCAGGUGUAGCGGUGAAAUGCGUAGAGAUCUGGAGGAAUACCGGUGGCGAAGGCGGCCCCCUGGACAAAGACUGACGCUCAGGUGCGAAAGCGUGGGGAGCAAACAGGAUUAGAAACCCGUGUAGUCCCA
rnacentral:rRNA from 1 species